rnacentral:rRNA from 1 species
UAAUACAGAGGUGGCAAGCGUUGUUCGGAAUUACUGGGCGUAAAGGGCUCGUAGGCGGCCAACUAAGUCAGACGUGAAAUCCCUCGGCUUAACCGGGGAACUGCGUCUGAUACUGGAUGGCUUGAGUUUGGGAGAGGGAUGCGGAAUUCCAGGUGUAGCGGUGAAAUGCGUAGAUAUCUGGAGGAACACCGGUGGCGAAGGCGGCAUCCUGGACCAACACUGACGCUGAGGAGCGAAAGCCAGGGGAGCAAACGGGAUUAGAUACCCCGGUAGUCCUGGCCCUAAACGAUGAAUGCUUGGUGUGACGGGUAUCGAUCCCUGUCGUGCCGAAGCUAACGCAUUAAGCAUUCCGCCUGGGGAGUACGGUCGCAAGGCUG